ACGGGAGGCAGCAGUGGGGGAUAUUGCACAAUGGGGGAAACCCUGAUGCAGCGACGCCGCGUGAGUGAUGAAGUAUUUCGGUAUGUAAAGCUCUAUCAGCAGGGAAGAUAAUGACGGUACCUGACUAAGAAGCACCGGCUCAAUACGUGCCAGCAGCCGCGGUAAUACGUCUGGUGCAAGCGUUAUCCGGAUUUACUGGGUGUAAAGGGAGCGUAGACGGCAAGGCGAGCCAGAUGUGAAAGGCUGGGGCUCAACCCCGGGACUGCAUUUGGAACUGUCUAGCUAGAGUAUCGGAGAGGUAAGUGGAAUUCCUAGUGUAGCGGUGAAAUGCGUAGAUAUUAGGAGGAACACCAGUGGCGAAGGCGGCUUACUGGACGAUAACUGACGUUGAGGCUCGAAAGCGUGGGGAGCAAACAGGAUUAGAUACCCUGGUA
rnacentral:rRNA from 1 species